rnacentral:rRNA from 1 species
CGCGUAGGCGGUUAUGUAAGUUAGAUGUGAAAUCCCCGGGCUUAACCUGGGAAUGGCAUUUAAUACUGUAUGACUAGAGUAGAGUAGAGGGAAGUGGAAUUUCCGGUGUAGCGGUGAAAUGCGUAGAUAUCGGAAAGAACACCAGUGGCGAAGGCGGCUUCCUGGACUCAUACUGACGUUGAGGCGCGAAAGCGUGGGUAGCAAACAGGAUUAGAUACCCUGGUAGUCCAUGCUGUAAACGAUGAAAACUAGAUGUUGGAGGGUUAAACUCUUCAGUAUCGAAGCUAACGCGAUAAGUUUUCCGCCUGGGGAGUACGGCCGCAAGGCUAAA